CACAAUCAUCCUGAUGUCUAUAAUCAGUGAUCACCAUUGCCUGUUUUAACGUGGCGGCCCGCCACCCUUAGCUGGGUACCCGCCACGCUUACACAACCAAAUUCACUCGAUCCGCCACGCAUGUAAUUGUUACCUUACACCCCUAUUUUGUAUCGAUUUCAAGCAGAAAACUGACCCGUUUCUAUAGCGUCCGAUACUCAUUACCUAUGGCCCCUGUUUUUACAGGUGAACUAGGCCUAAUUGACGAAUUGCGAUCUCGGUAAGGUGCCUCACCGUUAUGUUUUGAUACGGUUGACUGAUCUCUUGAUCACACCUAUAUCGAUGGUGAUAAUUAAUUAAUAGUAGGUGUACUGUUCUGACCAUGCGAACAGAUGUGAUUGUAUGGUUUCAGUCGAUCGGGACAUCAGAGAAAAUGUUACCAUCGUCGACAUCGGAAAAACCGACGGUCCGAUAAGAUUUUUUUUUUUCACAAGAAUUAAUAUUCAGCUGGGAUAAUCAAACUGAUAAUAUCAAUACCUAAGCCGAUGUUUGAGAAGCAUGGAUACAUUUUUGAAAACUUUAUGGCAAUGUCACCAUGAAGAGAGGAGUAUCAGCUCCUUUUUUGGAACACCAUGUGAACGACAUGCGAUCGCGACAACCGAUCUAGAAAACCUGCAGCCAACAGACUGAAAUCUGAUAUAUCGCGCAAGCCACGGCUACAGAAAUGCGCAUGGAUUAAUUGUGUAUGAAGAUGACCAAGCAGGAACAGGCUCUCUCAGAGGAUCUUGAACUCUCUGAUGAUGGUGUUUACCCAGAAAGUUCCCUACAAGAAAGUUGCUUCAUUCUAGAAGGGACUGUGCAAUAGCAGAAUGUUCAUGUCAUUUGGAGAGACAAAGUGUGUUUGGCUUCAAUUGUUCAUAUAUAGUGAAGACUAUUUUCAGGAGAAAAUUAUAGUGACUGUGUUGAAUUGAUAUCUUAAUUGAAAUUAUAUUGUGGCUUGUGCAUUGCUUUAAAUACUUUAUAUAUUCUUAUAUUAUGUCCAGUAAAAGUUGCCAUUGAGUUUGAUUUGUAGAUGCUGUAUCAUAGAUAUAAUAGUUGCUAUUAAUAUGUUCACUGAUAAUAUUAUAGUGCAAUUUAUGAAAUUAAUAAUUGAAAUGUUUUAACUUAUAAUACUUGACAAUGCAAUAUGAUCUUGGUGUGAAUGUUUAUCAUAUUUAUAACAGUAAAAGAUGCUAUUUGAGUUUGUUUUAUUCAAUGUUAUAUUAAAGAACAGCGAGUUGGAAUUGAGAUUGAAAUGGUUUUGUGAAAAUAAAUUGAUGAUUGUUUAAAUGAG